UAAAAUUUAAGACUGGUUUAAAAAAUCGAAUCUGAGUGUAUAUUUCUUAUCAAGUCACCAAAGGUGAAAAGAUACAGAAACUAUCAAAGUACAGUGUCAGAUAAAUUUUUUUCAAUUUAACUUUUUUAAAAUUAGGCACAACAAUGUAAAUUUAGAAAAAUUGGAGUUUGGAGUUUUUCUAAAAUCAUCAAAUUAUAAAAGGUCAUUAUAACUGAUCAUUCAUAAUUCACAAAUAUGGAUCUGCAAUGUCUCUAUUCCAAAUCAGGUCACAUUCUGAGGGUAAAGGCGGUUGGGGACUUCCACAUAAAGACUUUGGGGGGGACAUACUUCAACUCAUAGCAUUCAGUAAUUCACUUAUCAAUAUAUUUAGGCAGAGAACAUUUAUGUCAUGAAUCCUACAAUGCUUAGCCUUAUGUUGUCAUUGGAAGGAAAGAGGAAACUUCCAGUUCCUGCCCUCACUGAGCAGACAGUUGAGAUGUGGGACCUGCCAUUCUGUUUUGCUCACUCUGCUCCAGCCACACCAAGCUCCUCCAUGUUCCUGGGCACAGUUAGCAAACUCCUUCCUCAGGGACUUUUCACCUUCUCUUUCCUCUGCCUGGAACGCUCUUCACUAGAUCCUUCAAUUCACCACCUCUGUGAGAUCUUCCCUAACUAUCCCAUUUAAAAUAGUGACACCACUCAUCUCACACUGCUUAUUUCUCCUUCUAAUUUUCUCAAAAAUGCUUCUCAUCUUCUAAUAUAGUCUAUAACUUACUUCUUUGUUUUGUUUAUUGUCUGCCUCCCUACUAGAAUUAAACAACUUGAGAAUAGGGAUUUUUGUCUGUUUUGUACACUGCUGUAACCGCAGGGCCUAAAAUCAUGCUCAGAUAAUGAUGAUGCAAUGGAUUAAGUGCUAUGAGAGAUACUACAGCCUUAAGGUUUAA
rnacentral:lncRNA from 1 species